rnacentral:misc_RNA from 1 species
UUUUUUUUUUUUUUUUGGGUGCAAAGGACCCAUCGCUGCAAUCCAGUACUUGCCUAUCUUUCGCUGUAUAAUUCACUCGACUAGUAUUUCUUUUAGACGUUUGUUUUAGUGUGUGCUGUGAAUCUGAGGCAGUGGCUAUUUUUUAGGGAGCCCUGUUCUCCUUGCGUUUGAUUAGAUUCCUCACAGUUGGAUUGAUUUAAUUUGCUUUGUUGAUUUUUACCAAUGGGUAUUUGCUGAUGACCCUUGUUUUGGUGAUUUUCUUGUAUUUAUGGUGG